ensembl:miRNA
GAGGCUGGGCGGGGCGCAGCCGGAUCGGUCGAGAGCGUCCUGGCUGAUGACGGUCUCCCGUGCCCACGCCCCAAACGCAGUCUC